CAAAUCAGUUUGUUUAUGUGUUGGGGAGAGUUGGGCUGUUGGUGAGGGUGCGAGCCCAAAUCAUUACUCUGCUCAUCUCUACACUAUACAACAUUUGCGCUUGUUGUGUUUGACAGAGUAAUCUAUAUUCAAUAAUGA
rnacentral:misc_RNA from 1 species